rnacentral:lncRNA from 1 species
GAUGGUUGUGGAGUGCCUACCAUGAAAUCUCCUGGGGUCCAUAAGUAGCAUCUCUUGUGUCCUUGUGAGAGAGAUUUUGUUGAAAAAAUAGUAGAUGGAUGAUCCUGUCUAGAAGAUCACUUGUUUCUUCCACCAUCUCUAAAGCUGCAUCUGGAGGCCCAGCAGUUGCUGUUUGUUUAGUAUUGUGUGCAUGUUGUAUUAACUGUUAUCAUGAAGAAUAGAGUUGGAAAUGGGCAGGACAGGUCUGUGGCUUGGGACCUGGCAUCCUAUGCUGCUGGUUUUGGGGACUUUAUGAUUUUCUGAGUGUGGUCAGUUGGGAGGAAUGGGAUCUUUGGCUGAUAUGUCCCAAACCUCCUGAGAGUGACUGGCAUGUAUUCUGAGAAUAGGGACAUCUCUCUCUAUAAAGGCCUAUCUGCCCUUGGGUCUCACCAUUGUAGGUAGCUGCCAUAUUGUCUUUUCUAAAGGAAGAUUUGAUAACUGGCAAGAAAAAGUCUUGGCAUGUUUUAAGAUGUUCAUGUCUUGUCCAGUUCUUAAUGUUUUCAAGUUAGUAGCCCCCAAAUGUUAUCUUUCUGUGUUGUUAACAGACCUCCCCUCUACCUCUUUAAUAAAUUUCCUUACUCUUUUUUUUUUUUUUAAAUCUUGGUCACCAUUACUUUGGCCCCUUUGAAAUGGAUCUGACUUGUCUUUCUCUUGAGUUGCUUGAAGGAAGGGAAACUAUAGGGGCUGGAGAAGUGGCUCUUGGCUAAAAGCACUUGCCUUUCUAGAGGACCUGGGUUCAGUUUUCAGAACUCACAUGAUGACAUACAGCCAUCUAUAACUCCAGUUCCAAGGGAGUAUGUUGUUUUGUUUUUUUGCAUGACAAGUUCUCAUGUGAUGCUCCUGUAUACAUGCAGACUGUGUGUGUGUGUGCGCGCAUAUAUAUGUAUGUGUAUGUGUAUAUGUAUAUACACACACACAUACACAUAUACACAUUUUCAAAAAAGAAAAAGAAGGCAGAGGGAGGGACUAGGUGAGGGGGGCACUAUCAGAAGGGGGAAAGCUAUAGGGAUGUAAUGUAAAUAAAUAAUUAAUAGAAGAAGAAGAAGAAGAAGAAGAAGAAAAGCAGGGUGUUGUGGCGCAUCCUUUUAAUCCUAGCCCUGGGAUGCAGAGGCGUGCAGUAUCUGAGUUCCAGGCCAGCCUGAUACACACAGUGAGUUCCAGCAUGGCCAGGGUAAGACCUUGUCUUGAAAAAACAGAGCGGGGGAAGGGAUUAGUAAGAAGUUCAAAAGAAAAGAAACUGGUUAUAGGCUUUAAACUAUUACAAAGCAUUAGCAAUAGGUAGAAGCUAUCCUGGCGGUGGGAGUGGUCCUGUGUGCCUACCCCACUUCCCAAUUGAAGAAGUUUUUUUAUGUUUGAAGGUAGAUCCAGCUUGUCUGUGCAGUAGGCCACUGUUC